GAGGGUAUAGCUCAAAUGGUAGAGCGCAUGUUUAGCAUGCACAAGGUCCUGGGUUCAACCCCCAGUACCUCCA
rfam:Camelus ferus unplaced genomic scaffold scaffold816, whole genome shotgun sequence.